AGGGAAUGUCCCCCUCCAACAGUAGUGAUGACCCAGAGAGCUGCAGGAGGUCAGGAAGCAGCGUGAGAGAGGGCUGAUGCCAAACUCAGAGCUGUGUCAUCUGUCAGAGCAAUUUGUUCUCAAGGAGCAAAGGAGAAGUUGUUUUCCUGAAGGAGCGGGUUGGCUGUGGCCACAGGAGCACACUGAAGCCUGUAGCAGCAGGGAACAGGAUUGACCCUGACCGCGAGACUCAAAAAACCCCAAAAAAACCCAACCCAACUAAUAAGAAAACUGGCUGCGCCCAGCAAUUGUCUGCAGCACCGGGAAGGGCGCAGGAAAACCCGCUGGAAGAACGCGGGAGCGCAUCCGCCCUGCAGCUGUGGUGCCAGGAGCCACCUCCGCACAGUGUGGUCAGCAAAGCCCAGUGAGGAGUCAUCGCUGGCCACUCAGCACAUUAGCUGAGUUUCCGUCUUUGCACGCAUCCUCUGUCUCAGACUGGUUUUGGAAAGGAAAGCACUGGCUGGUGUAUUUACCUUGGAAGCCCGUCGUUCACUUCAGAGCUUAGACCUGGAUUUUAAAGCCUCAGUUUUGCAGGAUGUGCUACACAGUGGCAAGCUGAAGAUAACCCCCAACAGCAGCAAGAGGGGGUCAUUUGCAGAUUGGCAGCUCUGGCUGUGCCUUCUGCUUCCCCCAGGAGCCUCGUGUUUAUGCUGUGCUUGCUGUGAGGGAUUGCUCAGCAAGCUGAUCUACUCCAACAGCAGGGAUGGCAGCCAGUGGAACCCGUAUCCCCACACAGAUCACUCAAAAAGCAGCUAAAAGACAGCCUUAGCCUCUGCCCUGUACUCCAGCAGGUCAGCUCCAGCUCUGAAGAAAUUUGCAGGGAGCAGGAGUGCAGAUGUGGCAGAGCAGGUGUCUCUAGGCUGGUGUAGUGCUGGGGUAGAUGGGAUAAUGCAUUUUCUAUAGCCUGAUUGCUCUCUGGUUGGCUGAGGACUUCACAGAAGGAGACAAACCCAGAUUGAUCCUGUUCAUCUGAACAAAGUAAAAGGUGCUGUUACCUAUUUGCCAGGAAUGCAGGCAGGGAUAUGGAGCGGGAACAGUGUAACUGAAGCUUUAACACCCACCUAUAACCAUUUCUGCAUGAGGUGAUUGUGCUUUGCAGGGCAUACCUUCAAUUUGGUGGCUCAGGGAUUUGCAAACAGUGAGUCAUAACUCCCUGGGGUCAAAAAUGCAGCUGCUGAGGCACCAGGCAUUGAAAAGUGUUGUCCAAGAUAAAAGCAAAGCAAACCUCUCUGCCCACACACCCUUAUCCUUCAAGGCUGAGUAUCUUUGUCACCCUUUUCAAAAACAUGCACUCAAAAUGAUACAGGCUUCUCGUGGUUGCCAUUGAUACGGAAUUUACUUCUCCUUUUAAGUAGACAAGAGGGGAUUGCGAAAAUCUGUGACUUGAAAGAGUUGAGGCAGAGAGACCAGAAGCUGAUACGUAGCACCCUGUGCCUGCAGAGAGGUGGCUGGCACUUGGGGACAGAAUGGAGCUGUGGGAAAUGUCUGUGUCCUUCCCAGGGAGGGUCCCAGAAGAGCAGACAACCCCUGGCCCUUGGCAUCCAGGCUGGACCUGCAGACCUUGCAGAGCGUGCAUACAGCCAGUCCGGUUCCUGCCCAGGGAGCACUGACUCACUGCUGAGGAAGAAGCAACGUGUGAGUCACCUGUCCCAUAAAGUAUCCCACUCAUAGUGCUCAUGUGGCACCAGGCUCCUGUCCCGUGACAGGUGCUGGGUACAACAACAUGGCAUGGCCACCACCUUUGCCACAAAACGCCUGGUUGCAGAGCUCACGUGGCUGCUCCAGCCCAUCACACAGUGACCUGUCUGAGAGGAUGGUGGCACAUGUGGGUCCUGCAGAGCCUUCCAGGCACUGCCAGCCACCAGCCUGGCCUGCCUGUCCCCGUGACUUCAAAGCCACUAGUGUCAUGAGCUGCAAGGUUCUCAGGCAUACUGGACCUUCCCUGUGAAGGCUUGAGAGGUUGGUAAGUAACAGCUUGCAGAACCUGCUGCUUUGGUAACAUGCUGCUCCAACAGAACCUUGAUUCCUGAAGAAAAGCCAGUUCUGCAAAGGCCUCUGCAGUUCUGUGCUGGCUGUGUGCACUACUCUCUGUACCUAUUUUUAUACCAUUCCUUUGGUUUCAAAAAACCUUUCAGAAAUGUCCGUGCUUAGAGGGACCCAGAUCUGACAAAAUAACUGACUCAGUCUGGCCUCAGGGAAGUUACCUCACUGCCUGGGUCAUCUUCUCAACUUGAGCACUGGGAAUAAUCAUAUGAAAUUACCUGGCAUAGCUCCAACACAGCUGUAAAAAUUAAUUAGCUGGUAUUUGGCACUGGCUGUAAAAGUUGGAAGGUGUUGGUGUUGUCAAACCUCUGUAGCUGGAGAGGCCAUAAGGGAGUCCUGCAGGAGAAUUGGGUGAUGGUCACUAUUUGUGUGAUAGCCUCUUGGGAUAGUCUGCACCAUCAAAACACCCCUUUGCCCUGUGGCACUUGAUUAUUCCAUGGGCUUUGGCUUCCACCAGAUAACUACAGUGCUGUUAAAUGGGUGGUGCCCACCUUGCACCAUGGCCCAGCAGCAUGGGCUUGUGUCUCCCUGCCAGUCUUGCCAGGCCCAGUGUAGGCACUUGUCUAAGGGGGUGUCCCCUGUGCUCAGCUGUCCAUGGCUCUGAGGGAGGCUGACUCAAAGGCAGAGCAAGGGCAAGAUCUGGACAUCUCAGGGAGCGAGGUGGCUCCGAAGGGAAGGUGCCAGCGUUGCUGCCUCCCAGUAUCAAAGGGAUCACAAAGUGGUUUUGUGGCUCUUGCUGUUGAACAGGGGGAAGCAGUCCAACAAGUCCAAAGGCAUUUCUUUUAUGUGCCUGUGCCUGCAGUGCCUGGUGUGAGGGAACAUGCCAGAACCAGGCUUUGCAGCCCUGCAGGUCGGCCCCCUCCGUGUGGGGCUCAGGCUCCCAUGUUGGUGUUUAGACCCUUUAUCAAUGCUUUGUUUUUUCAAGAUGUCCAACCUCCAGCAGCUGCUAUUUUAUCAGUGAGGACAGAUGCUGGUAAUACCUUGUGCUAUAUGCAAUGUCCUCUGCACCUCAGCAGAAGCCCAGAUUGGAGCUCUGCCAUGAGAUUGCAGUUGCUUCCUAGACUUGGUGUCUGGUGAUCAGGUCUUGUCCAGGGCUGGCUUCUUGCUUUCAUGUGUUGCUGCUGCAUGACUUGGAAAUCGGCUGAGGAUUGCAAAGGUGAAAGCAUGAGUAGAUUACCAGAGUGGAAUUUGUACUGCAGGCAGGGAUUAGGGGGCAGGCAAAAGACUGUGGCUGUGCUCUUGCCAGUAGAAAUGCACACGUGGUCAUGGAAUAGCAGAUUUCUGAGGACCAGAAUGCCAGCGGAAGCAGGAUCAAUCUGCUUUAGACAAGAUAAACUGAAGGAUGACAAUGCUUGGGUUACAGAAGCGAGAUAUUGUGUGUUUACUGCACUUUAGUUCCCCUUUUUUAUUUUAGUAAGUUAGAUCAUUAUAAUGAUAAUUUGAGGAAGCUGGCCUGGAAAGCUAAUGGUGACAAGGAAAGCGUUGCACAGCUAGUUGAAAGAAACUGGCUUUACACAGGAAUCUCCAGUUGCACAGAGCAGUACAGCCCCUGUGCUGCCACAUCUUGCUGGGCACAGAGGCAAAGAAGGGUCCCAGGGCUGUGCCCAGCAAUGAGGAAGGGGGGCUGCAGGACUCUGAAGAGCUAAGAAAUACUGGAGAAGUAUCAGAGGAAUGAGCAGGCUCUCCCCAAGCUUUUAAUGUCACAGAUGGCCAGAGCUGGGGUGGUUUGCCUCCUGGGAAGAGCGUGAAUUUGGCCCUGGGGGAAUGUCAGAUGUUCACAGCUCAUGGUGAAGAUUUGUGGGUACUACAGAUAAGCCAGUGUGCUCCCUGGACCUCUCUGCAGGCCUUUCCAAAAUCAGCAACCAGCAAGUGUUUUUGUAUCCCUGUUCACUCCGCCAUUCUAGGGACUAAGAAGAGAAAGGGAGGGUCCCUUUUGGUCCAAGGACAAAAGCAGAGAGAUGGCCUAAGACAUACCAUGUUUUAUUGUCUCAUUGGAUCAGGAAGAUCAGUAAACAGAGAUUUGAUGUCACAAAGGGAAGAAAAUCAAAGCUGGAGAUGUUCUUACUUCCUGGUUUAGAGGGACGAGUGCAUGAAAUUGGCCGAGGUUUCUGCACUGGUAAAUGUCUGCAGACCUGUCACUAUAACCUUAGGGAUCUGCUGACCUGAGUGAAGGUCCCUCAAAGGCAGAGCAUUGAUUUCUGCAGCAAUGUUAGUGAUUGGCAUUGGGUUUCAAAUGGAUCAGUCUUUAUGGGUUUUUCAUUGGGUUUUGAUAGGUCUUCACAGGCUACUGAGUCGAAGUGUGCUGGGCUGCUGACUGCAGCACGCUCUGGUUUCUCCAUGUGUUUGUUCUGGUGGGGAGGUGUGUGUGUGUGUGUGUGCCUGCACGGCCAGGCAAAACACAACAGCCAUGGCUCAAUACUUCUAUUUGCCACUUUCUUACCACUGAUUUUCUCCUUUCAUUCUGCCACCAUGAACGCAGGUCUCCUUGCUGCCAAAAGGCACCUGUCUCUCUGCUGACACUGUCCUCCCGAGUGCCGGGAUUCCCGUGUUCUCCAAGGCCAGUGGGAUCAUGCCUUGUCAGUCUGAAAAAAUGCUGCAUUCCCACAGAGGGGCAGGAAUUCAUCAUGAGCAGCUACUGCAUGACACAGCUGUUGGUCAUGCCAAGAAAAUGAGCAAGUGGCACAGGAACUUGGUGCAAGGUUAUCCUCUGUGGAACAAGGGUGGGUGAUGGAUGGUGCCAGGAUCGCUCUGCGGUGGAGGAGGAAGUGUCACCUGCAGCUUUUGAUUGCUUUUCAUGUUAUGUAGACAGAAAGAAAAAAGGAAACUUUUGGGAAAAGAGAGCUGAGGAGCACUCUGUAACUAAUCAUUAAUGUGUACUCCUAACAGCCCAGCAUGUGAGUCUCCUGUUAGAGGAGCUGGGACAAGCCAGUGCUCUGCCCCACAAGCUGCUGAUGUGCCCAGGGCCCACAGCCCCAGGGCUGAGCUGGGGAGAUACCUUCCUCCCCAUCCACAGAAAUCACGUCUGUUUGGGAGGGUUUUCUCCAUCAUGUCACUAAUCAGAGCUUUUCCUCUUUUGUCCAGUCUGGGUUUUAACUGGUACCAGGUUCUUCUGCAGCUCUUUGCAUCUUACGGGGCACUUUAUAAGUAUGAAUAAACCAGAUGUCACAGCCUCCCCUCUCUCAAGUGAUGGUAACAGUGACACAGUCCUGCAGGUAGAGAAGAUCCAAAACUGGUAAUGAACUUUCUGGCAUUAUAUGAGGAGAGCCUGGCAGCCCUGGCUCCUCUUCACCUUCUGCAUUUCCACAACUUCAACCAGCCCAAGGACCACUGGCCGUGUCCUGCCUCGCCCAGCCCUUCCCUUGCCUGGGGUGUACCCUGCACGAAGCCAGUUCCCUGCACCGAACUGCUGGAAAGUGUAUCCCUGCUGCUUUUGCUGUUAGCAGCAGAUGCAGGGAAGUGACUCAGGGCAGGGCCAGUGGAGAGCUCAGGAGAGCACCACUGUAAGCACCUGAGCUGGCUGCACUAGGGUUCCUCUAUUGAUCCAGAACUGCUUGGUGGGCACCAAGGAAUGAGACCUCGCAGCACCUUUCCAGGGUGAGCAUUCCUGUUUCCAGGUGGCAGACGGGGAAACGUCCUACAGAGGAGGCAAGCAGUUUGGCUAAUGGUAUGUGGCAGAUCUGUCUCGGGACAGGAGAGAGAGCAAAGGUCUUUUCCCUGCCAGCUCUGUGAUCUCUGCUCAUCAGCCUGUCCCUCAGAGCUGGAAGCAGGCUGCUCUAUCUACACUGCUUAGAAGCAAAAUUCUUUUCUAACGUAGCUGUAAUUAGCUCUAUUCUUUUUUUCCUUGGUUGUUUUGCUUUCCAGAGUUCACAGGUUAAUAAAACCCCCCAGUGGUCGUGUGACUUGUAA